AGGUCACCUUCAAGCAACUCCAGCUCCGCAGUGAUCUACUACAGAACUGCCCGUGAGGAUUACAAAAGUGCAACACUUAGGGGGAAGUCAUGUGAGCUGCCAGAGGCCCCUCCAGGUAAAGCAUCGUGUGGAUAUGUAGUGUCAAGAGCACGAAUUUCCUAUCUUCCGUGUGCCUCCGUGGAAUCGCAUCUCAGCUCUACCCCUUUCUGGCCGAACAGCCAAGGCCGGAACAUUUCUGUCUCAUUUUCCGUAUAAAAACCCUUGUAUCAAUGCCUGGGUGUGCAAUUGGACAUAGAGUACACCUCCAGGUGACACUCCAGUUAGCCCUCUGUGCUCACCCAGUAUCCAUUAUCCAGACCUCCUGGCAUCCACCUUCUGGACCACCUGGCACCGUCAUCCUCACUGCCUGACACCUGACUGGUGACUGUCCUGGACCAAUGUCCCAGCGAGAAAUAGGCUGGUUUCACAGAAGCCGAACAGAAAGUACCUUCAUCAUGCAACACGUUUCGCUGGGCACCUGUUAUGAGCAGGCAGCUGCUCUGUG